rnacentral:rRNA from 1 species
GUAGGGUGCAAGCGUUAAUCGGAAUUACUGGGCGUAAAGCGUGCGCAGGCGGUCUUGCAAGACAGAUGUGAAAUCCCCGGGCUUAACCUGGGAACUGCAUUUGUGACUGCAAGGCUAGAGUGCGGCAGAGGGGGAUGGAAUUCCGCGUGUAGCAGUGAAAUGCGUAGAUAUGCGGAGGAACACCGAUGGCGAAGGCAAUCCCCUGGGCCUGCACUGACGCUCAUGCACGAAAGCGUGGGGAGCAAACAGGAUUAGAUACCCUGGUAGUCCACGCCCUAAACGAUGUCAACUGGUUGUUGGACGGCUUGCUGUUCAGUAACGAAGCUAACGCGUGAAGUUGACCGCCUGGGGAGUACGGCCGCAAGGUUG